GAUGAACGCUGGCGGCGUGCUUAACACAUGCAAGUCGAACGGUGAAGGCGGAGCUUGCUCUGCUGGACCAGUGGCGCACGGGUGAGUAACACGUGAGCAAUCCGCCCCUGACUCUGGGAUAAGCGCUGGAAACGGCGUCUCAUACUGGAUACGAGCUGCGAAGGCAUCUUCAGCAGCUGGAAAGAAGUUCGGUCCGGGCUGGGCUCGCGGCCUAUCCGCUUGUUGGUGAGGUAAUUGCUGACCAAGGCAUCGACGGGUAGCCGGCCUGAGAGGGUGAACGGGCACACGGGUACUGAGACACGGCGCAGAAUCCUACGUGAGGCAGAAGGCGAGAAUAUGGCACAAUGGGCGAGAGCCUGAGGCAGCAACGCCGCGUUAGGGACGACGGCCUUCGGGUGGUAAACCACUGUUAACAGGGAAGAAGCGAAAGUGACGGUACCUGCAGAGAAAGCGCCGGCUAACUACGUG
rnacentral:rRNA from 1 species